GCGCAGCCGGGGAGGUGUGCGCGCCUUGAGGAGUGUGUUGUUUCGACGAGCGUUUCGUUUCAUUAGUUUUGCAGUCUCUACAGUAAGGGACAAUUUAGUCAAGUGUUUUUAUUAAGUACACAAUUACAAAGUCAACCGUGCUACAGGAUCGUGAGCCAGAGAUCAGCAUCCCAACCUUUGUCGUAAACCUUUUGACCUUCAGACCCCAGGCCUGAGGUUCACUUUCUUGCCUGUUCAGUGGGACAACCGGAGCCACUUCUGAGGGCUUGUGAUGAUCCAUUACUCCUUCAGCAAAUAUUUAUAAAGUGCCUGUUGUGUACUGGGCAUUGUUCUAGACAUGGAAUAUAAAGCGGUGAACAAAGACCUUGUUCUCAGCGUCUUUGUUCCAGGGUGGGAAAACAGCACACAGAUACAGAUACACUGAUGGACAAAUAUAUCGGGGGAAAGGUCUAAGGAGAAUAAGCCAGGGAAGGUGAACAGUGGUGGGGAGAGGGCUCAGGUCAGUGCUCAGAGCAGGUACAGACUUGCAGUGGGGAGGGAGUCAGCUAGUGGAUAUGGAGCCAUAGGGGGUGCAGAGCAUCCCAGGCAGCAGGAAUGCAAGUGCCAAGGUGCUGGAGGGCGAGUUAUGUUCGCACAGGCAACACGCACGCCUGUCCUGGGGGCCUCUGCAUCAGCACGGAGGCAGUGACUCAGGAGCAGGCAACCCAGACAAACCGGACCUAAGUUUUAAAAAAGACCUUCGUGGUAGCUGAGUUAGAUAGACAGAAUUGGGGCAAGGGUGGAGGCAGGAAACUGCUUAUAUAUUAAAAUACGUAAGAGAUGAGGGCAGCCUGGGCCACUGUGUGUGGAUGGUGGAGAAGGUGAGCAGUGGUUGGAGCCUGAAUAGAUUUGAAAGGCGAGAUUACAAGGCUUGGUGGCUUCAAGGAGGAAUCAAGGAUGGCCGAUGGUUCUAGCCCGAGGAAUUGCAAGGACCAUUUGCCAUUCCUGAGUUGGGGAAGGUUGUGGACGGAGUUGGGGGUGGGAGAAAAGCUGGGAGCUCAGCUCUGAACGCAGUAGGUUUAGGUACCUUCAGGAUACAAGUGGAUGAGUAGACCAUCAGGGUGAGCCUGGGUUCAAAGAGGUGUGGACAAGAUGCAAGUGUGGGUGUCACCAGUGUGGGGUCAGUCCCUCAGACUGGAUCAGACAACUAAGAAAGGGGCUGUGAACCAGGAAGGCUCCUGUGGCCAAGGCCUAGUGCCAGCAAGACUCAGAACCUCCCAUCUCUCCUCCAGCUCUCCCUCCUAGCUUUUCUCCUUUUCUGUUAAGGAGGAUUUUGUAAGAGACAGGGUCAAAAAAUUUUUGUUAGUUUCUCGAUUCCCAGUAUCCAGUAUGUGCUACCUUUUAAAUAAUUCAUUUAAAUUCCAGAAAUGUAUUUGGAAAUAUCCACAAACAUUCAAAUGCUGGUUGUGAUAUUUGGUAAUAUGGGCAAUUAAAUUCUUUCGCAAUUUCAAAGUAUCAUUACAAAGCUAAUAUAAGGAGCCAUUAGAUUUCUAAAGGUAUUUCUUCUUGAAAAUGACAAAAAUUACUUUGGAAUAAGCGAAUCUCUUGGUUGUAGGUCUUUUGUAAAAAAAAAUGCCAUAUUAAAAAAAGGUAUAUGAG